GAUCAUGGCUCAGGAUGAACGCUAGCUACAGGCUUAACACGUGCAAGUCGAGGGGAAACGAUAUUGGAAGCUUGCUUCCGAUAGGCGUCGACCGGCGCACGGGUGAGUAACGCGUAUCCAACCUGCCCACCACUUGGGGAUAACCUUGCGGAAGUAAGACUAAUACCCAAUGAUAUCUCUAGAAGACAUCUGAAAGAGGUUAAAGAUUCAUCGGUGAUGGAUGGGGAUGCGU
rnacentral:rRNA from 1 species